rnacentral:rRNA from 1 species
CCCUUAGAUGUUCUGGGCCGCACGCGCGCUACACUGAUGCAUUCAACGAGCCUAUCCUUGACCGACAGGCCCGGGUAAUCUUUGAAUCUGCAUCGUGACGGGGAUAGAUUAUUGCAAUUAUUAAUCUUCAACGAGGAAUGCCUAGUAGGCGCAAGUCAUCAGCUUGCGUCGAUUACGUCCCUGCCCUUUGUACACACCGCCCGUCGCUCCUACCGAUUGGGUGUGCUGGUGAAAUGUUCGGAUCGGCCGUUUGUCGCGGUUUCCGCGUCAUGUGGCUGAGAAGUUCAUUAAACCCUCCCACCUAGAGGAAGGAGAAGUCGUAACA